GACGAACGCUGGCGGCGUGCUUAACACAUGCAAGUCGAGCGGUAAGGCCCUUCGGGUACACGAGCGGCGAACGGGUGAGUAACACGUGGGUGACCUGCCCUUAGCUCUGGGAUAAGCCUGGGAAACUGGGUCUAAUACCGGAUAUGACCUCAUGACGCAUGUUGUGGGGUGGAAAGCCUUGUGCGGCUAGGGAUGGGCCCGCGGCCUAUCAGCUUGGUUGGUGGGGUGAUGGCCACCAAGGCGACGACGGGUAGCCGGCCUGAGAGGGCGACCGGCCACACUGGGACUGAGACACGGCCCAGACUCCUACGGGAGGCAGCAGGUGGGGAAUCUUGCGCAAUGGGGCGAAAGCCUGACGCAGCGACGCCGCGUGAGGAUGA
rnacentral:rRNA from 1 species